GCCAAUCUAACGGGUGUAAGGUGAUAUCUUAGUGUAGUUUUGAUUUGCAUUUCACUGGGGUUCUUCUUAAUGUCCCUUAGGGGUACACUAUAGAAUGACCUCAGUGUUAAGACGGAAGUCCUGAAACAUUUUUUUCAACCAAAAAAUGGCGCUUUCACAACAUUCUAAUCCUUAGCAGGUGCAAGACUUCAAUACUUUUCUUGAACUUGAGACUUAGGCUAUCUUAGAAUGUUUGCCCCUAGAGAUUCCGACCUACAGCUAAACUGUCACAAUCCCGGAAACGACUCAAUUCUAAUCAGCCUGUUCUGGCCACAUAAGGGAUCAUUGGUCAUAAAUCAGAGAUAAAGAUCACAUUGCGUUCGAGCAAGCCUGAAGCCAUCUGCCCGCCAACAACUACAUCCUUCAUUCACAUUAUGGAGACAGAACCCCCCAUCUCAUCAUUAAAAGGCAAUCUUCAAAGGGACAUUGUUUUUGCUUUUUCCCGUUGUGACAGAUGUUUUAUAUCAUCUACCUCCACAUGCUAACUCAUCUGUAAGGGACUGCCCACUCUCUGCAGCCAGCUGUGGAAAUAGCUCCGGUGUCAUCUGUGGCAACUCUCGUUCCAUUCUUCUGACCUCAGCAAGACCACAUCCAAGAACAGGAAAAACAAACAGCCUUGAUAACUUCCUUGAAAACAUUUCCAGGGCAGGAGAUAGGCCAGCUUUAGACAAGAGCUCUUUACAAAGUAUGUAACAAAAGAGAGGCAAGCUUAUUUGAAACACUCAAAUGUCACCAGGCUAGCCAAUCGGGGUAAUCCCUAGAUUAAGGAAUAAUGAAGCAAUCGCAUCUGUGGGCAUGAUUCAGCUGAAAACAUCUGGUUGAGUCAGAACCACUUCAAUUAGCUGGAGCACACAUCCAUCAAUCAUUUCCUUUCUUUUGACUGUAUAAAGUUCCCACGAGGAAAUGUUUACACCAGCAACUCAUUCAACUCUUUGAAAUGUCGUGAAAAGACUGUAAUAUAUUUUUUAAAUGGAUAGAUAAAUAACCUUCUUUGUUGCUCUGUGGUGGAAUUAUGUCUGAUAUUAGAAUAUAUUCUAGGAAUAAAAAUUCAUCUACUUUUUAA